rfam:Stylonychia lemnae strain 130c genome assembly, contig: Contig4844
AGCUCUAUGGUGUAGUGGUUAGCACAGAGGACUUUAAAUCCUUUAGCCUGAGUUCGAGUCUCAGUAGAGCUA